ACGGGUGAGUAAUGCCUAAGAAUCUGCCUGGUAGUGGGGGACAACGUUUCGAAAGGAACGCUAAUACCGCAUACUUCCUACCGGAGAAAGCAGGGGACCUUCGGGCCUUGCGCUAUCUGAUGAGCCUAGGUCGGAUUAGCUAGUUGGUGAGGUAAUGGCUCACCAAGGCGACGAUCCGUAACUGGUCUGAGAGGAUGAUCAGUCACACUGGAACUGAGACACGGUCCAGACUCCUACGGGAGGCAGCAGUGGGGAAUAUUGGACAAUGGGCGAAAGCCUGAUCCAGCCAUGCCGCGUGUGUGAAGAAGGUCUUCGGAUUGUAAAGCACUUUAUGUUGGGAGGAAGGGUUGUAGAUUAAUACUCUGCAAUUUUGACGUUACCGACAGAAUAAGCACCGGCUAACUCUGUGCCAAUGAUCGCGGUAAUACAGAGGGUGCAAGCGUUAAUCGGAAUUACUGGGCGUCCAGCGCGCCUACGUGGUUUGUUAAGUUGGAUGUGAAAUCCCCGGGCUCAACCUGGGAACUGCAUCCUUCACUGGCAAGCUAGAGUAUGGUAGAGGGUGGUGGAAUUUCCUGUGU
rnacentral:rRNA from 1 species